UGGCUCUCGCAUCGAUGAAGAACGCAGCGAAAUGCGAUAAGUAAUGUGAAUUGCAGAUUUUCAGUGAAUCAUCGAAUCUUUGAACGCACCUUGCGCCUCAUGGUAUUCCGUGAGGCAUGCCUGUUUGAGUGUCAUUAAAAUCAUCAGAAAUGAAACACUUUUGUGAUUCACUUUUUGGAUUUUGAGGUUGUGCCAAAUUGUCCUCUUUUUGGCUCCCUUUUCUUUUGAAAAAAUAGAUCAGUGGAAUCGGUUUUAUAUGAUUCUUCAAUGGGAUAAUUAUCUUUCAUUGUCAAGAUCAAGAAAAGCAGUCUACUUCUAAAUCGUCAUUCAUUUGACACACACAUUGUUUAAAAUGACUAUUUGACCUCAAAUCAGGUAGGAUUACCCGCUGA
rnacentral:misc_RNA from 1 species